CGAAAAAUCGGCAGCUGGCAGCAGGAAGUAGCUGCCAUUGGCAGCAGGAAGUCCUGCCAUAUUAGGAGGGACAUACUAUUUCGUGGCAGCCAAUCAGUAUCGUCCAACGUAGUAGCAACCAAUCACAUUUAACUGGAAGGCAAGCGACAGCAGCACCGGCUAAUCUUCAGUAAUGGCGGCGAGUUCAUCGAGGAGCCAGGCUUCACACAGUGUUGCCGAAGCAUUAUUGGCUGCAAAACGUGUGGAACAGUGGCAGGAUACCUCUGUGUGCUGUGCAAAAUGUAGAGGGAACACCACAGGCAACAAGAUAUUUGAAAUUAAUGGUUUGUCAGAAGCAUUUUCUGUUCUGAGAUCUCUUUUUGAAGAGGAGAAGCAUUUUGCGCUUUUAUACUCACAAAUAGGCAUGUUGACUUUCAUUUGACUUUGUUUUAUUGAUUCAAAAAUUGAGUUGUAAUGUUAAUUUAUUUACAUGUUUAGUCUGGUUGAUGUAAUUGGUGUUCAUCGUUCUUGUUACAAAUUUACAUUCUGUUCAAAUAGAGCGAUCUGCUUUUCACACAUUGCGCUGAAUUGUGGUUAUAAGACCGAGAAAUGCCUGUUUGUACGGAGUCAAGUCAUUGUUCACUGCUCUAGAGAACAAGUCUGAAAUGUCUGAAUAUUGCUCAGCAAACUGAUUCUCAACUCUAAGUUUGUCCUGAUCAGUUGAAAAUGGAUCAACUCCAAAUGUGUGGUCAGUGAGGAUCCCAGCUGUUGGCUGUUAAUUCAACUGAAUGAGGCAGCAGCUCCUGUGGGAUUUUUUUUUGGGACAUCCACAGCCAGCCAAGUCAUUUGGUACACCUUUACCUGUAAAAUAAAAACAGACUGUUGGUCUUAACUUAUGAA